rnacentral:lncRNA from 1 species
GGGGGUACAUUAUUUCUUUGUUCAGAAGAAAAGCAAAAACAAAAGACAAUGGAGAUAUUACUUAACAAAAAUACAAAGGGAGUGGUCCAAUUUGGUGGUAGUUGGUGAAAAUGCAAUUGAAAGGUAAGGUACUAGAGAGAGAAGAAAUGAACCACUUGGGACAAACUCAUAGGGUUGGGGGGGUAUUCAAUAUCAAUCAACUGAUCCGACGGCAGAUAGUGAUUCCAUCACCAACCGGGAGCAUGCAAAUCUCAAUCCUAGGGUCAGCAGCAAGAGCCUUGUUAAGCUCAAGAACAAAGUCCCUGUAGUAACGAACGUACUUCCUCAUCGGUGCAUCAGGAGGAGCCACGACAGAACCGUUCCACAGAGUGUUGUCGUAGCCAAUCACUCCACCAACUUUCACAAGAUCAAUCAAACGCUUGUGGUAGUUGAUAUAGUUGUCCUUGUCAGCAUCAACGAAAAUAAAGUCAUAUGUUCCAUGGUUCUUCUCCUGCACCCAACCACACACAAUCAUAAAUUAUUUUCUUCCUUGUAUGAAAAAGGAAACAAAUCUGUUUUCACAAUAAAAAAAUCUCAUCAAAAUUAUUAAAAAUCAAGAUACGGUUCUGGGUUGGUUCGAUUCCAAAUGUUUUGUACCUAUAAAAUAUUAAGAUAAGAAUGCUUACGUCAGCAACAAGUUGAUCAAGAACAGGUAGAGCAGGGCCUUCCCUGAAGUCGAUCUUGUGGGCAACGCCGGCUUUCUCGAUGAUCGGCAAACCCAAUUCGUAAUUCUCUCUGUUAACAUCCAUAGCCAGAAUCUGAGGGUGAAACAGAACAAAGNNNNNNNNNNNNNNNNNNNNNNNNNNNNNNNNNNNNNNNNNNNNNNNNNNNNNNNNNNNNNNNNNNNNNNNNNNNNNNNNNNNNNNNNNNNNNNNNNNNNNNNNNNNNNNNNNNNNNNNNNNNNNNNNNNNNNNNNNNNNNNNNNNNNNNNNNNNNNNNNNNNNNNNNNNNNNNNNNNNNNNNNNNNNNNNNNNNNNNNNNNNNNNNNNNNNNNNNNNNNNNNNNNNNNNNNNNNNNNNNNNNNNNNNNNNNNNNNNNNNNNNNNNNNNNNNNNNNNNNNNNNNNNUUUUUUUAAAAAAAUUAAUAUUUUUUACAUUCCGAGGAAAUUAAUUAUAUUUUUCACUUGAUCGAUCGAUGCGUUUUUGAACAAAAAAGCAUCGAUCGAUGCGUUUUUUAAAAAACGUUCGGGCUAUACCGAGGGACAGCUCCCUCGGAAAAUUCCGAGGGAGCUGUGCCUCGGUAUAUUCCGAGGGACCAGUUCCCUCGGAAUAUACCGAGGGAAAAGUUCCUCGGAAUAAACCGAGGAAAAGGUCCGUCGGUAUACUCCUAUCGAUCGAUGUAUAUAUGUCCAAACACGCAUCGAUCGAUGAACUUCUGAGGAAUUAUACCGACGAAAAGAACCUCUCAACUAUCUAUAGCUUACAAAAGCAAACAACGAGAAAGAAACACAGCAAUCGAGAAGAAAUCAAAUCUAUUUUUAAUCAAAGAAGAAGAAGCUAUGGGUCUCUCUAAGGCACGCAAGCUACUCUUAGUGCUCGUGAUCACUGCCUACUUCUUUUCCGGGACUGCUCAUGCAUGGAGCUGGAACUGGGGUUCUGGACAAUCCGGUUCGAGCUGGGGAUGGGGUUGGGGCUCCGACAAUAACUCUGGCUCAGGUUCAGGUGGUGGUUCAAGCUGGGGUUGGGGAUGGAGCUCGAACGGAACAGAUACAAACUGGGGUUGGGGAAGCAGCUCUGGCUCAAGUGGCACCGGGUCUACACAUAAAAGCUACCACAACCACACGGCCCCAUCAAACCACUCGAACGGCAGUGGUAGUAUUGGCUCUACACACAACAACCACACGGCUCAAGUAUCGCCUAGAAGAAAGAUUGAGGUUACUGUGUGGAAGAACGGAUUCGAUUACCAAGAAUGGGCUUCAAAGCAUGCACCCUUCCACACCAACGAUGUCCUUUCUUUCAAGUACAACGAUAAAAGUCAAUCCAAGACGAAGAAGCACAACAAUAACAAGAACGAUGUCUACUUGCUUCCAGACUUGAAGAGCUACAAGAGAUGCGAUGUGAGCAGAGCCAAGAAGCUAGUCGCAAGAGGAGCUAGGCUCAUCAUUAGGGUUUAAGUUGCUUCUCCGCAAGACUCCUGAGACCUACUACUUCGCUAGUGGAGACCACAAUGGCUGCAACCACAGCAUGAAGUUCUCUGUCUCCCCGAUUCCUCGUUCUUCUUCACACACUAAACCCUAAAUAUCACUUCACUACUUUGUUUCCUUGUUAGAUUCUGUUUGGUUUAUAUUUUUUUAAUUUGUUUCUUGUGCUUCAUGUCAACGAUGGAUUGAUUUAUUACAAAUUUAUUUGGAGAUAAUAAUGAUUUAUUAUAAUUUUAAUACACACACAAAAGAGGAUCAACGUAUAUAUAUAGUUACAUAUCGACUAAUAAAAAAUCUCAUCCUUUUGCGGCUUAAGCACACAAAUGUUAAAAGUUUCAAACUGUUUAAAUUCAUCACUUGACAAAACACUAAUCUUUCUAAGCUUCUUGCUGGAUUGCACGUCUGAGCCUAAGUCUAGUAUUAGCAUCUUCCUAACGCCCUGUCAAGACACCACCAUCCCCUGCAUCCUCACUGCUUUGGUUUUGGUGAGCCAAAACAGCUUCCCCAAAGUUAUGGAGCCUCCGACCAAUGAGGUAACGGUCGUCCCGGAUGGAGUUGUGAAGGUUUCUGAACCAAACAUGGCAUCUAUUUGCACAGAAGCAGACGAGACUCACCGAGAGACAACCUAUCCAAGCAUAUCUGUAGACGGCCGAGUUCACAACCAGUGGAUAUCCUAGCAUCGGGAACACUCCUCUUGCCAGAACAUAAGGCACACAUAAUGCUGUCAGAAGUUUCAUCACGAUUGGGAAUAAAAUUUCUCUAAAUACCCAUAACCCUUGAAGCCUUGAGAAUCUAUCUCCUUCUACUCUCUCAAACUUUGCUUUCCAACUAUCAUCCAGCAAUAUUAUCUGUCCAUUGUUGUCAUUUUUAGUGACAUGCUACGUUUGUCCCCCCAAAAAAGUGACAUGCUACAUAUUCUUUAUGCGAUACAAAAAAAAAAAGAGUACUAACCAAUGUUGACCAGAUUUUCAAAACGAUGAGCCCAAGAGGCCAGUCUUGAUACAGGAGGAAGACAGGGCUUUCAUCUACCGGGACUCUCAUUGGGACAAUCACCAAAAGCUCAAACACAAGUCCUAUUAGUACCGGAAUGACAAAAACCUGUUCAGGAAACCAUUUUCUAAUACACAACAUCAAAUGAGUUUUGUAGUAUUUUAAAAUUCUGAAAAGAAAAAAACAAUUCACUUACCCAUAUGGCUAACAGCACCGAGCUCUUGAAAACAAUCUCACACCAUUUCCAUAUUUCCUUUCUUGAAGUUCUUUUUGACUUGACAUGCUCGAUAGUAUACAUGGCCCCAGAUAUGGUAGUCCAAAAGGCAUAUGUGCCAAUGACGUAAGCAUACAGGUCUACAGAUUUAAGAGGAUAUCAUAUUAAAAUUGUCUAUCCCUUUACAAUAAAGAAGCACUAGAUCGAAUGUAACACACAUUACCAUUGUACUUGAUGAUGCCAUGCGUUAUAGGGAGAGUUGGUAUGGCAUUAAAUAGAGCACGUCCUACAGAAACUGGUACAACUAUCAAUGUCGUAUUGAAGAGAAGAAGAGUAAUCCAUGCAGCAAGUAGAAGAAGGACUAUCCGGAGCACAAAGUUGUACCUCCUGAAAUAUUUGGUUCAUUUCAGGGUAAGGCCUAAUGAAAAAUUUGAAGCUUGUUUCUUAAGUAACAACUUACUCUGAAUCAGAUUGUCCUCUGUUCUGCCUUCCUGGUUCGCCAUUUCCAUUGUCCUGGCCAACGUUGUCCUCCGGUCUUGGUAAGAGGAAGUCUGUCAAACCAAGCGCCCAGCCAACACAGGUGAACCAGAAGCGUACAAGGGACUCAACAGCGGUCCAGAGUCUAAAGUGCUCGAUGAUAAACUGUGUGCAUAUGGUGAACAGGAGCAUGCCAGCAGGGAUCUCAGUGAAUGGGUCGGAUACACUGUGUAGAUGCACAACUUAUUAAACACACUAAAUGUCAAAAAAAAAAAAAAGAAACAAGAUUCAAUCAUGCAAGACGACAUUGUGUACAUACACAAAGUUAGUAAACACACAACGUCUCCAAAAAACAAGAUGCAUGCCAACUUUCUUACGAUAUGUUAAGAGGGAAGAUUGAAGGUGCCAUCCUGAUCGCAAGUUUGACUGGCAAAAACACCAGCAAGACAAUCAAACUCCCAAGCUUUGCAGAAUCUAACAAAACAUUUCGAGCAAGCUUGUGCACUGGUUCUUCAAUAAAUAACUGGAAUGUGUCAUCCUCAUAUUCGGGAUCAUAAAAGAAAUUCAAAACUCCAGGGCGAAGAACCUGCACAAAAGUGGAAAAAAAUAUUAGAUAUUAGCAGAAAAGAAACCUUAAAUGAGGAGGGACCAUGGUACCUGUUGAAGAAGCUCCUCAAAUAUGAUUAUUUUCAAUAAGUACAAUAGUCCAACAACCCAGUGAACAAGUGAGCUCGCCAGUGGAGAAACCGAUAAAAACUCUACUCUAUGGGACAUUGUUUUACCAAACACCUUAACCGUGCAAACAUCUAACAACCACCCGCACAUCAAGGGGACGACACCAAGCAUUAAGACAAACACGACACCACCAUAGAACUGCCUAAGGAGAGGUGGUAUUGUUUCUACUAUUGAAGCAACACCACCGUAGAAUCUUCCAGCGGUCAGUGGCUCACCCUUGAGGUAUUGAAUCAAGGGAAUGAGUCCAAGGUAAAUGAACACAAGACAGUCUCCAAACAUGUGCCCAUCAGUGCAAGUUGUAGCAACGUAUAGCUUUGGUGGUCCAGCUCCAGCAACAAAACAUUUCAAAAGAUGAGAUACUAGUCCAUUUUCUUGUCCCUCGUGAGUCAAAUUUGAGACCGAAGCAGGGCCUCUAGCAUCAGCAAAAACACACAACACAUGAUAUAAUAUAAACCGUCCUAGUGUGAAGGGCACAAAGAUGACAACACCAAGGAAUAUCAUAUUGCUUGCCAGAACCUGCAAAGUUAUGCACAUACAUAUAAGAUUUUUUAAAUGAGAAAAGGACGAAACAUGAUUCAACUUACAGGAAAGGCCGCAUUAUCAUACACCGGACCAUGCAUUCCAAACCGCACGUAAAAUUGAAAGUACAUUCGCAAAUGCCUAAAGUAGUCCCUCAAUGUGGCAGCUCCACUGAGGAUGAAGAUGAUAGUUGUUGAUAGUAAGAAACCAAGCAAACAAUCGGCUAGGACAACUACGGUGGACAUGUGGCUUAAGAACAGUCUCUGAGCUUCACCAAAACUCUGAACAAAAGCCAAUCUCCAUGUCCAAAACGUAAUGAAAGGAAUAGUGAGAAACCAGACCGAAAGCACUAAACACAACCGAAGAAAGACGUGCAGAGCACGGCAACUGCAAACUUUCAUCCCAAUGCCAACAACAAACUCAUUGAAAGGGAGUCUUGUAGGAGCGUGUUCAGCAUAAAGCGGAGAGAAUGAAAAACGAUGCUUGCAAACCUCGCAUUGAUGAGCUUUGCAGUAGCUAAGCCAUUGAAGGAGGCAAUCUUGGUGCACAAACUUGAUGCUUCCCCUGCAGGCGCAUGGAUAUUGAAGAGGGUUGUCUGUAUCCCCUGGAGUUCUGCAGAUCCUGCAAACGUCCUCAUCACCUUCUUCAUCAUCAAUGUACCUCGCCGUUGCAGUUGUGUGAGCCAUGGUGGAGUAAGCGGUGGGAGGAGGCCUAAACCCUUAACAUUGUAAGAAUAAAAAGGUAAAAAAGGGUUAUACUUUUCUUUUUACCUCGAAAAAUAAAAAAAGGAGUCCAGACGAGGUAGUCCAAGUGGCAGGACGGGCCUGUGGUGGCAACCACCAUCCGGGUUCGAUUUCCUCCUCAUGCGGAUAUAGAUGGCAAUCGUUUACUCGGUUCUUCUUCGUCUUUUUUUUUUUUUUUUUUUAACUAAAAAAAAAAACCAAAACAAAAAACCCCAAAAAAAAAAAAAAAAAAAAAAAAAAAAAAAAAAAAAGGAAAUUUGUAUUUUCUUCUUGAACAUUUACUACAACCUUGCUCGGCAAGGCGUAAUUAUUCUGUCUUUUGAUUUUUUUUAAAAUUAGUUAUGAUGAAUCCAAAAUUUUAGUUAAAAAUUAUAUAUAGUGGUUACAUAAAUAUUAUGUUGUGUUGUAGAAGUUUCUCUUAAUUCAAUUAAUGGUUUGAUUAAUGAUUAGCUAAUGCUUUUAUAUCUGGAAUCUGAAUUUCGAAUCCUAGAAAAUGUGAUCUCUAUAAUAUUAUUUGAGAAACCAGUUUUUUCUUUAUGUAUCCGCUCACGUUAAUUCUUACAACGAUUAUUUACAGAGCUACCCUUAAUGAAUUAAAAUAUUGAAUCUAAAUACUAUUUUUUUAGUUUCCAUUUUAAUUUUUUCAAAUAACAUAUAUAAUAAAAAAGAAACAUUUAUAAACUUUAGAAACGAAUUUAAAAAUGAAAAUAUAUGUGUAUAUAUAAUAUGAUUUCAUUAAAAAUGAAAGUUCACAAUAUAGUAAUAUUACGUUUAAAACAUUUUUUACAAAAAAAAAAAUACUUUCAAUGUAAUAAAAAUAUUUUCUUUAUAUCUAUAUUUGGAAAUAUUGACAUUUUUAGAAAUAGGAAAGUUCACAAAAUAGUAAUCCUCCAACGUUUUGUUUUAUUUUUUUUGGAAAUAUUGACAUUUUUAGAAAUAACAAAUUAAAAAUAUGUUUGUCGUAUUCUAAUUGGUUGUUUUAAAUCCUAUGUAGACGCUUUCAAUGACUUAUGUGUCCUCAACUUUUAUACAAAGUUUUGCAUUUUCUGAAUUAAUUAUUAUUUGGUAUUUUAUUUGGGAAAAUUUUAUGUUUACCACUUUCAUAGUACCACUUUUCAUCUUUACCACCACUAAAGAGAUAUUUUCAAAAAUAUCUUCUUCAUUAAGUGGCAAAAGAAUCUUAUACUCUUAUUAUCUAUAUAUAUAAUAAAUCAUUAUUUAAAUAAAUAAAAAAUAUUUAAAAAAAUAUUUUUAUUUUUUAUGUUUUCGAAUUAUACUUUUUCAAAUUCUAACUUUUUAUAUAAAAAAAAAUUUGAUUUGUUUUUCGAAUUUUUUUUUUUUUUUCAAAAUUUCUUUAGUUACUGAAAACGUAGAGACUCUAGAUUACAUAUUCAAUUCAUGUUGGGACACAUCUACUCUCAACCUAAGUUAUGGUUUAGGUCUCGUCAUUAGAGAAUGUAGGGGCCUCCCAGAACCUCUUAGUCAUAAAUAUAAGAAUAGUGUGAUAUAGAAAUUGUCAAUUGCUUGAGCUUUCUCUUUGUGUUGUCAAAUGAAGUGACUUUUAAAAACAUAACUUGCUGUAGACAGUAAUUAGUAACGUUCGUGUGUAAUAUAUCUCCAUAUGCACAAUGGGAUCGACUUACGAGUAAAGUUGUUGUUGCACGGCAUGUAUUCAUUCAUCAAAGAUGUUGCUGCCACUAAACCUCAAUGCAUCUUCAUCACUGACUCAAAUUCUUCAAGCAAGAGGUUAAAUAGUGCUCAAUCUUAAAUGACUAAUGUUUUUGCGACAACAUAUGGUUCAUUCUUCGUUUUAGGCCUAGGCAUUUCGGGUAUCGGUUCGGGUAUUUCGGGUUUUGGGUAGUUCGGAUAGAGGCUAGAGGAUCCAUUUAGUACUUGACCUAUUUUCGGUUCGGUUCGGUUCGGUUCGGUUCGGAUAGUUUCGGGUUCGGUUCGGUUCGGAUAGUAAAUGUAGAAACCGGAAAAUAUCCGGAAAAAGUUCGGUUCUCAUUUAGAUCCGGUUCGGGUUCGGAUAGUUCGGGUAGUUCGGAUAAUUUGGAUAAAAUAUCGGUUAUUUAGGGUAAAAUAUCAAAUAAUUAGGAUGAUUUAGAUAAAAAAUUUGGAUAUUUCGGAUUACUUUGGAUAUUUCGGAUAAAACUACCUGGAUAGUUUCGGAUACUUUCGGGUAGUUUGGAUACUUUAUAAUAAUUUAGUUAUCCUCAACUAUUUUGAGAUACUUUUAAUAGAAUUUUAAAUUAAAAAUAUAUAUUUAGUGAUGUUAUAUGUAUAUAUAAUUAAUAUUUUUAUAUAUUCGGGUACCCGUUCUGUUCUCGGUUCGGUUCCGGUUCGGUUCGGUUAUUUCGGAUAUAAAAAUAUAGGAACCGUUCGGGUAUUUGAGGGUAUUAGUCCGGUUCCGGUUUCGGGUAUUUCGGUUCGGUUCUUCGGUUCCGGUUAUUUUGCCCAGGUCUACUUCUUUAAUCUAACAUCCUGUAAUAUGUUUAACUACGGAUUAGAUAUGUGAAGUAUAAUUCUAUGGAAAAAUGCGACGUAUCUCUUCUUACGGUUUUGAUCUUAAACUAUUUUGUCUGCUCUCUUUUGACAAAUGAAAUCCCCCAAAAUAACAAGUACAUCACUAAUCUUUGUUUUAGUUACGUAGCUGAAAGUCUGAAAUUACCUAACUGUGUUUAGUAUUUCAAAAACUGAUGACCCAAGACUUCCUACUUUGUGCUUUUCUUUCUCUCACUAUAUAAUAAAUUGACAAUGUUAACAAAGACUUUUCAACUUAAGUGUAUGAUGAUCAUUGAUUUAGAAUAACACCAUUUUAGGGGGAAAGUCAUUCACGUUCAUGUGGACAGAUGGUAAAGAGUCCAACACGUUUUGUUCUUUAUAGGUUCCUCUUGUAAUAACUAUGGAGAUAAGCUAAUCCUAUUAAUCUGCAUCACGCCAUAGUAACCAUUUUGUCUAUUAAAAUGCAAAAGUUCUUCUCUCUUUUUUUACUCUCACUUAGAUCUCUUUACAAAAAUUAAAUGAGUGAUAUAUUCUUUUAGAUGUUGUAUCAUAAAGUAAAAACAAACGAAACAAGAAAGGCAGGGUACAUUAUUUCUUUGUUCAGAAGAAAAGCAAAAACAAAAGACAAUGGAGAUAUUACUUAACAAAAUACAAAGGGAGUGGUCCAAUUUGGUGGUAGUUGGUGAAAAUGCAUUUGAAAGGUAGGGUACUAGAGAGAGAAGAAUUGAACCACUUGGGACAAACUCAUAGGGUUGGGGGUAUUCCAUAUCAAUCAACUGAUCCGACGGCAGAUAGUGAUUCCAUCACCAACCGGGAGCAUGCAAAUCUCAAUCCUAGGGUCAGCAGCAAGAGCCUUGUUAAGCUCAAGAACAAA